UCCUGACUAUGCUAUGCGUAGAUUAGGGCUACACGUCAAUUUAUCAGCACAUUGUUGAUUUUCAUUUUAAGUCAUAAAAUACAAAAGCGACAUCCGUGAAGCUUUGGUGCAGGACUAUCCUGGUAAUAGGUAAAUUGGCUAUAAGCA
rnacentral:ncRNA from 1 species